UUUGACUCGCCCUUUUAAUCGUCCAUGACCGAGUCUAUGUUAAAUCCUGAGAUAUGUGCAAAUAUAUCUCGAUUCUCUUUUCUCUAUGCUACGUGAUAUCAACCGCCGAGUACACCACCACAAAUGGGGGAAGCUUCACCAACACCUUCGAUAUUCAAGAAAUGAUAAACUUUCACCACCAUCGCAUCAAAGUCAUCGCCUCUAAGAACCCUAACCCUAACCAAUGUUCACAGCCACCACCACUCGGCUUAAACGCCAUUAUCGGUAGUUUGUUUGAUGUAGGUGUGAAAUUCAUAUCUACGUCCACCUCUUCAAUGGUUCUAGAUUCCAGGUUUGAUGACGUUUUUAUGAAGAACAAACCGAGGAGAACAAGCUCGCACCCUCACUAUAUGGAGAUCAAAGGCAUCCAUGGACCGAUUAUGAAACCCUAGAUCCAAAAAAUGUCGCCGUGACUCGCACUCUCCUCCCUUCACCUCCUUCUGAGGAAACAGGCGUGGCACAAAUCCAAAUUUCAGAUCUUCUAAAAGUCAGACAAAAACAAAACUUUCAAUAUGGUACCACUUCAAAUUCAGAAUCAAAACCCUUUGCAACCAAAGAACGUACUGAGAAUGGUGAAUGCUUAUGGAUCUACUAGAAAGUUACUUUAUAUUGCUUUUUGGUUCUGGUUCUGUUCCCCUUGUCUCCUCUCCCUCGUAUUUGUUCUAGAAUCACCCUAUAUGAUAAAAUAUAUUAAUUUGUGUGAGAAGUCUAUGAAAUUAGGAUUUCUUGAAAGAUGAAGAAUAUAUGAUUUCUUGUAUUUGAAUCCCUAAUUUGGUUUUAUAUUUGUUAUUAUGAAAGGAACUUUAAUUAUUGUACUAUUGCUUAAUUAUUGAUGAUAUCUUUCUUUAUUGCAGAUGCAUAGACUUCAAAAAAUUGAAAAGUCUUGCCCUUAGUCAUCCUCAAGAUUCCUCUUUUAGCAAAUUCGUUCUUACUCUGACCCUCAUUUAAAUGAUAAUUUAAGUUAAUGCUUCUAGAAUCACCAAGUUGAUAAUAUUCUUAGGGUAUAGGGUAAGAACAUCAAGAUAUGAAAGCUAUGGGUGAGUUUCACCAUGUAAGAUGUGUGUGAUGCUUGAUGGGCUUGCUUAUGGUUAAAAGGAUAGAAGGGUCUCAAAGGAAGCUGAAAGGGCUUUAUCUAAUUCAGACGACAUAGAUGCAUCAUCCUGUCAUUAAUUUCACUGUUAUUUUUAGGUUAAUCACAUCCAAAUCUCUUUAUGUAGGUGUAUGCAGUCUAAAAAAUGACGUUUUCAUGAUAUGUGAUGGUGAACACGGGUAAUGACUGAUUGAUGGAGGAUUCAGUUGGCACAUAUCCUAAUGGGCCGUAACUCCACAACACUUUUUUAAAUCACUAUUUCCCAUA